GACGAACGCUGGCGGCGUGCCUAAUACAUGCAAGUCGAACGCUUCUUUCCUCCCGAGUGCUUGCACUCAAUUGGAAAGAGGAGUGGCGGACGGGUGAGUAACACGUGGGUAACCUACCCAUCAGAGGGGGAUAACACUUGGAAACAGGUGCUAAUACCGCAUAACAGUUUAUGCCGCAUGGCAUAAGAGUGAAAGGCGCUUUCGGGUGUCGCUGAUGGAUGGACCCGCGGUGCAUUAGCUAGUUGGUGAGGUAACGGCUCACCAAGGCCACGAUGCAUAGCCGACCUGAGAGGGUGAUCGGCCACACUGGGACUGAGACACGGCCCAGACUCCUACGGGAGGCAGCAGUAGGGAAUCUUCGGCAAUGGACGAAAGUCUGACCGAGCAACGCCGCGUGAGUGAAGAAGGUUUUCGGAUCGUAAAACUCUGUUGUUAGAGAAGAACAAGGACGUUAGUAACUGAACGUCCCC
rnacentral:rRNA from 1 species